UCUUGCACGGCUAAUAUGACUUAUAGGAAGUCUAAAGAAAGCACUGUGAGUAAGCUUGAGCCAUGACAAGAAACCUAAUGUGUUUUUGGUGACAUCCACUUAGUGAAUGAACCGCUGCAAGA
rnacentral:other from 1 species